GCGGUAUUAGUGUUCAAUGGCAGCACGUCAGUCUUCCAAACUGAAAGUAGGGGUUCGAAUCCCCUAUGCCGUUC
rnacentral:tRNA from 1 species